rnacentral:rRNA from 1 species
UACGGGGGGGCGAAGCGUUGUUCGGAAUUACUGGGCGUAAAGGGUGCGUAGGCGGCUUUCUAAGUGGAUGUGAAAACUCUGGGCUCAACCCAGAGCCUGCAUCCAAAACUGGAGAGCUUGGGUUCUGGAGGGGAAAGCGGAAUUCCUGGUGUAGCGGUGAAAUGCGUAGAUAUCAGGAGGAACACCGGUGGCGAAGGCGGCUUUCUGGACAGAUACCGACGCUGGAGGCACGAAAGCUAGGGGAGCAAACGGG